UUGCUCCGCAUUUUGAUCGGCUACGAAGAACACGGAGGCGUUGCUGAAGAAGGACGAGAAGGCUCCGGCUCAGACUGUUUCUUCUUCAUCUUCGUUGUUGACUUGAAGCAAAAUAGCGUUGGCCUUAUCUCCGUCCCGUGGCAAAGGAGUUCCAUCGUCUCUGAUGGGGGGAAACUGGAAAGGCCUAACCUAAAGGUGUCUCGAGGAAUAAGGUCAAUCGGUCUCCCAGUUGAAGCCGGGGCACGCAGCUCCUGAAGAUGAAGAGGAAGUGGAACUCGUCCCUGGAUCCGGCCAGUAGUGGCAAUGAUGGCGAGCCGCUGGGGGCUGAAUUUGAGGUGUUCUUGAACUUCAGAGGACCAGAUACUCGCCACAGCUUCACGGACUGCCUCUACCAUGCCAUGGACGGAGCCGGAGUCCGUGUCUUUAGGGAUGAGGAGGAGAUCCGCAAAGGCGAAGAGAUUGGAGGCGAGCUCCUGCGCGCGAUCGACAACUCCAAGGUCUACGUGACCAUCUUCUCCAGAGACUACGCAUCCAGUGCGUGGUGUCUCCGCGAGCUUGCGAGCAUCAUGGAAAGAUCCGGAGGAUCAAGUGGCAAAGUGAUCUUGCCUAUUUUCUAUGACGUGGGUGCUGAUGACGUUAAGCUACGGACUGGACUGUACGACGAGGCCUUGAAAAAGCAUGAGGAUCGGUUCGGCUGUGAUGUGGUGCAGCAGUGGAAGGAGGCUCUGAAAGAGGUCGCUCGUAUCAAGGGAUGGGAUUUGAAGGACAAAGGGGAAGGUGCAGUUAUCAAGCAUAUUGUUGAUGAAGUUCUGACCAGACUGAAGAAAAGGCAGAGAAAUUUGCCCGACCAUCUAGUUGGAAUUCAAGAUCAUUUGGAGGACAUGGCGUGCUUACUGCAAGAAGGAUCCUUCGACGUACGUUUCGUUAUAAUUCACGGUAUGGGUGGCAUCGGUAAAACAACUCUUGUUGAGGCUGUUUUUAAUCGGAUCUCUCACCAGUUCUCUGGUCACUGCUUUCUUUCAAAUGUUCGCGAAUCUUCCCAAGGUGGAAAAAUUAGAGAAUUACAAUGGAGACUAUUAUCAGAUAUUCUCAAGUUCCAACCCGUAAGGAUUUACGACACCAAUGAUGGGGUCAACAUGAUAAAAGAAAGGUUUCGUCAGAAGAAAGUUCUCAUCGUCUUGGAUGACGUUGACAAUAGAGACCAACUCAUGAAACUAGCUGGAAAGCGCGACUGGUUUGGUCCUGGCAGCAGAAUUAUCAUUACAACCAGGGACAUCGGCUUUUUGCCAAUCAAUAAGGGAAGACCAAGAGACAGUGACUGUAUCCAGCAUGAAGAAUUUUACAUCUAUGAAAUGAAGGAAAUGCUUCUUCAUCAUGCUCUUGAACUUUUUAGCAGGCACGCUUUCAGAAGAGAUACCCCUCCAAUUGAUUAUGCCAACAUAGCAAACAAGAUAGUUAAAACAACGGGUGGACUUCCUCUGGCUCUAAAGGUCAUCGGAUCCUCUCUUUGCUACAAAAGUAAGGCUGUAUGGGAAGACAUGCUGGAGAAGUUAAUGAAAAUGCCUCACAGAGAGGUCCAUGAUAUAUUGAUGAUAAGUUAUGAAUUGUUAGAGUACGAGCAGAAACAAAUUUUUCUCGAUAUUGCAUGUCACAUGGCCGGUGAAAAAAUCGAUGAUGCAAUUCUCAUGUGGAAAUCUUGCGAGUUUUUCCCAAAUCAGGCAAUUGAUGUCCUUAUCAACAUGUCCUUGAUAAGGGUCAAGUAUCAUGAGGAAUUAUGGAUGCAUGACCAACUUAGAGAUCUUGGAAGAGAAAUUGUUCGUCGAGAGAGCAUCCGAUUUCCCGGAAAGCGUAGCAGGUUGUGGUGCCCAAGGUCAGCUAUGGAUGUCAUACGCAGAAAAAAGGGAACAGAAGAAAUAGUAGCACUCAAACUUGAUGGACAUUCUAAAUCCCACAAUUUUACUCCUGAAGAAUUUUCAAAGCUAGAAAGCCUAAGAUUCUUUGAAUUAGACGGUGGGAACUUUGUCGGAGACUUUGAGAGUCUCUUCUCUGAAUUAAGAUGGCUUUCGUGGCAUCAGUGUCCUUCAAAGUUUCAAGCGACCAACUUUUGUCCAAACAACUUAGUCGUCCUCAAAAUUUCAGAAAGCGACAUAACAAAUGAUUGGGAUGGAUGGAGCCAAAUUAUGGGGACAAGUAACUUAAAAGUUCUCAGUCUUGUGAGAUGCAAAAGCUUAAUCAAGAUGCCUGAUUUCUCUAUGUGCUCCACUCUAGAGAGACUGGUGUUCAAAGAUCGUGAAAAGUUGGUUGAGAUUGACCCGUCCAUUGGUAACCAGGAGCACCUGCAAUACUUGGAAAUAAGUAGGAGCCAUCGUUUAGGAGUUUACCGAAAAAACCUUCAACCGAGAUCAGUCCGUGUGGGUAGCUCAAUUCUUGCCGGACUCAAUGGGCAACCUAAAAUUUUUGACAACCUUGAAGCUGGAAAAUCUGGCCCUCUUUGAACUUCCAGAAUCCAUCGGAAAAUUGACAUCACUGCUUCAAUUGGAAUUGGGAGGCACGAAAAUUACAGGAUUACCUCACUCUAUUGGAAAUCUUAAAAUGUUGAGGAAGAUGAGUCUUUCCAUGACUCCAAUAAAAAAGCUACCAAACUCAAUAGGAGGGUUGGUUUCCUUGAUAGAGCUAGAUUUGCUGGGUACAUAUAUCACAGAAUUACCUCCUUCUAUUGGGAAUCUAAAAGGAUUGGAGAUUUUAUGUCUAUUUGGGAGUGCAAUAAGAGAGCUACCAAAGACCAUAGGGAUGCUAGAGAAUCUUAAAAGGUUGGAAGCCUCACAUUGUAAAAAUCUUGUGGGGGAAAUUCCAAGUGAAAUUGGGCAUCUAUGCCUUUUGAGGACACUAGAUCUAUCACAUAGUGAGAUUAGGAGAUUGCCCACAACUAUGAAUCAGCUUUCUCAUCUCCAAAAACUUGAUUUAAAUAAGUGUGAUGAACUUGAACAAUUGCCAGAGCUCCCCGUGAGUCUGAAGGUUUUAAACUUCCCACCUCAUUUGUUGUGGAAUGCCCCUAACCUCUCAUAUCUAACUGUCUUAGUGAAUCUUCGUGUAUGGCAUGAUGCUAAUCGGCUGUUUCAAAUCUUCCGUCCAGCUCCAAAAAUAGAAUGGAUUGAGGGGUUAUCUAGUUUGGAGAGAAUGGAGCUUGUCAUUGGAGUUGUCGCAUUUCCUUCGAUUAAUUUGGCUACUCUUUCUCGACUUCGUUUUCUUGAGAUUACCUGUGUUAACCCUGGGUCUCUAAUGGGGCUUCCGUCCAGUCUUGAAAGAUUGUGUCUAUUCGAUGUUGGGUCACCGAUGGAAAAGUCCCUCUUUUCUAACUUGACAAAUAUGUCCGACUUGGAACUUUGCAGAUGUCGGCUAAGGGAGGUCAAUUUUGAUAAUGUGCUUGGAAAACAACUGGUGAAACUCCAUAGUUUGGCCGUGAGCGAUGGUGAAUGUCUUGAAAGGCUGACCGUAUCAAGGUUAAUGGGGCUCCUAUCGUUGAGAGUAACUGAUUGCCCGAAGCUAAUGGAGAUUCAUGGUGUGGAGAAAUUGGGAUCGCUAGAGGCAUUGAGUAUUUACAGAUGCAGUUGCUUAGAAAGAUUGCCUGAUGUAUCAAAACUAAAGGAGCUGCGGCUAUUGAGUCUCUCAGAUUGUCCAUUGCAAAAUUUGCCUUAUCUACAACUUCAAGACCAGUGUUUUUUGACAUUUGCGGGAUGUGGGAAUUCACCUUACUUUCUUGGCUUUUACAAAAAAUGGAAGGAUACUCACGGUCAUAGGGGGGGCGAUAUCAACAACCAACUCUAGAGAGGAAGAAUCAUCUCAUGUUCUCUUACAGCCCGAGCACACUCUGAAUUGAAGACUAGUCACACGUGGAGUGGAGAAGAAGGAGAGCAGGAGGUCUUCAAAGGAAGACAGAGUCAUCGGAUAAUUAUUCGCAGAAGCACGAGAGAUAAAUUGUUACAGUAAAUGGCAGGCUAAAAUUCCGUUUGGCGAUAUAUUAGAAACUUAUUAGAAUGGAUUGUUGAAGUCUUUAUUUGAUGAAAAUCACCACAGAAAUUGCUUAUGUUUUGGUAAUGUAAAAUAGCUGAAAGUUCGAUGUAGCGAUAAAUUGCAAUUAUCUUCUUGAUUUUGGCA